UACGGGGGGAGCAAGCGUUGUUCGGAUUUACUGGGCGUAAAGGGCGCGUAGGCGGCGCAACAAGUCACUUGUGAAAUCUCCGGGCUUAACCCGGAGCGGCCAAGUGAUACUGUCGUGCUAGAGUGCGGAAGGGGCUACUGGAAUUCUCGGUGUAGCGGUGAAAUGCGUAGAUAUCGAGAGGAACACCUGCGGCGAAGGCGGCCCACUGGGCUGCACCUGACGCUGAGGCGCGAAAGCCAGGGGAGCGAACGGG
rnacentral:rRNA from 1 species